UUUGACAACACCUCACCUCACCUAGAUGGUGAGGUGUCUAGACACUUGUAGGAUAGAUAUUUUGAAAAGGAAAAGAAAGAGAAGAAAAGGGCAACGGGGCUUGAAAAAAAAGGCAAGACAAAGAGGAGGGUUUGGCGGCUGAGUAGGGGGGGAACCUGGUUGGUGGCCGAAAAGAGAAAAAAGAAAGGAGAGAACCGAGAGGGGAGGACGGCUGGAAAAAACAGAGUAAAAGAAAAACCAAGGGGGUGGCGGAUGAAAAGGAACCGUGGAAAACGAAAAGGAAAAAAAGGAGGUGCUUCAUCGGAGGCUAAAGAAAAAGAAAGAGAAAGAUUGAAAGGAAAAAAUGGGAAGUUUAGCGGCUGAAGGCUGAGGAGAGGCUUCGGCUGAGUGAAGGGAAAAGGACGGAGAGGGAAGCUCAACGAAAACAAAAAACAGAGAAAAGGAAAAGAGGGUGGCGGCUGACGGGCAGAGGAGGAAAAAAGAGCAAAAACGCAAGGGGAAAACAGAGGGGCUGAGAACAAGGAGAAGAAAAAGGAGAGAACCGAGAGGGGGGCUUCGGUGGGGAAAAACAGAGAAGGCCGAGAGAGGUUUGGGCUAAAAAGAACAAAGCAAAGGAAAGACAAGGGGCGGCGGAACAAAGCAGAAAACUAAGAGGAAAAGGGACGGCUAGGGUUAGAGAAAAGGGAGACGCGAAAGUGAAAGGGAGAACUUCGGGGAGUUUCUGAGAGGAAGACAAGAGCAGGAACCAGAACAAGAGGAAGAAAGAAGCUUCGGGCUAGGGAAAAAUCAAAACGGAGGCAGAGGAGAGUAAGAACCAGAAUCACCACUGCCGUCGACCACCACCAGCGCCGCCACUUCACCGAACCCACCAUCAUCACCGGCCAAUUUUCAUCAAGCAAGAGCACGAUAAAUGCUAUUCAUACUAGCUUUUGGAAGAUUUCUAUGGUUAUGGUUGAAGAAUGUUGAAGACAAAAUUGCCUUUUGCUCAUGGAGUGGUUCAUUUAGAUGUUCUUCAAUUUCUUAAACUGUGAUUGCUUUUGUAAAUGUACCUUAUGUACAAGUGAUAUUUUGGACAAAUGUUAUUUUUGUAGGCAUUAGUUGGGUAAUGUACACUUGAAUUUGGCAUUUGAGAAUGCUAUAUUAUUACCAUGUAAUCUAAUGCAAAUACUUUUGGUUAUCAAUCGUUCA